CUUCAACGACCCCAGCCACAAUGGCCGAUGCCCGCCCCGGUCCCGCCCAUACGUGGCCAGCAGCGCCUGCGCCUC
rnacentral:antisense_RNA from 1 species